GAACGGUAGCACAGAGGAGCUUGCUCCUUGGGUGACGAGUGGCGGACGGGUGAGUAAUGUCUGGGAAACUGCCCGAUGGAGGGGGAUAACUACUGGAAACGGUAGCUAAUACCGCAUAACGUCUUCGGACCAAAGUGGGGGACCUUCGGGCCUCACACCAUCGGAUGUGCCCAGAUGGGAUUAGCUAGUAGGUGGGGUUCAUGGCUCACCUAGGCGACGAUCCCUAGCUGGUCUGAGAGGAUGACCAGCCACACUGGAACUGAGACACGGUCCAGACUCCUACGGGAGGCAGCAGUGGGGAAUAUUGCACAAUGGGCGCAAGCCUGAUGCAGCCAUGCCGCGUGUAUGAAGAAGGCCUUCGGGUUGUAAAGUACUUUCAGCGGGGAGGAAGGCGAUGAGGUUAAUAACCUUAUCGAUUGACGUUACCCACAGAAGAAGCACCGGCUAACUCCGUG
rnacentral:rRNA from 1 species